GGGGAUGUCAUGGUUUCGACAUGCAUCCAAUGUAAUUAGCGGCAGUGGUUUUGCAAACCAUAAUGCUCUAGGCUUUUUAAACGCAAAGGAUAAAAAACCUGAAGGUGUAAGCCUUCCAGUUGUUGCAACAUACAACUACCAAUCAAACCUAGCAUUCGCCUAACUGAAUACUAGUCCACAGAUUUUUGGCCCGAAAAUCUAGUUGGCUAUAGGGCUAUUUGCAAUAAUUUUGUUAAUUUUUUAUUGUAUGAAAACUGCAAAUUAACUAUUCUAGUUAAGUUAUGAUACUAUGUGUUAACUAGCGAAAAAUAAGCAUUGUAUCUAAACUGUAGAUGUUAAUUGCAGAAGGUGUGUGGACCGGGGUUCAACUCCCCGCAUCUCCACCA
rnacentral:tmRNA from 1 species